rnacentral:tRNA from 1 species
GAAGGUACAGCUCAGUGGUAAAGCACAUGCUUAGGAUGCAUGAGGUCCUGGGUUCAAUCCCAAGUACCUCCA